AACGAACGCUGGCGGCAUGCCUAACACAUGCAAGUCGAACGAGACCUUCGGGUCUAGUGGCGCACGGGUGCGUAACGCGUGGGAACCUGCCCUUAGGUUCGGAAUAACUCCCCGAAAGGGGUGCUAAUACCGGAUAAUGUCUUCGGACCAAAGAUUUAUCGCUUUUGGAUGGGCCCGCGUUGGAUUAGCUAGUUGGUAGGGUAAAAGCCUACCAAGGCGACGAUCCAUAGCUGGUCGGAGAGGAUGAUCAGCCACACUGGGACUGAGACACGGCCCAGACUCGUACGGGAGGCAGCAGAGGGGAGUAUUGGACAAUGGACGAAAGCCUGAUCCAGCAAUGCCGCGUGAGUGAUGAAGGCCUUAGGGUUGUAAAGCUCUUUUACACGGGAUGAUAAUGACAGUACCGGGAGAAUAAGCACCGGCUAACUACGUG
rnacentral:rRNA from 1 species